ACCCCGGGCACAGGAGAGUCGCUGCUCCUUCCUCCAGUGAUAGGGAUCGCCGCAGGAUUCAGGAAGGCACGGAUGGGGCAAUCUCUGGAGACUCCAAGCUUCACACUGCCCCUGCAGGGACAAGUCAAGAACACAGAGCGGCUCUACAGGAAAGGAUUUAGCCCGAGGGAGAAAUGAAAGCAAUCCAGACUUUGAGUAAAUACAUUUUAUAUGGAACAAGAUAAUAAAAUAGCGUGCAUUUUAUUUAAAACCAACCAAGCGCUGAUAAAAAUAUAUCUCACUGCAGCGGUGAUUCCACAUCAAACCUUAACAGUUAAGAACUGGGAGUUUAAUUCAUUCUUCACAUCACGUGCUGGGCCUGGCGGAGGACACCCACCUCCCCCGGAACCUCAGAGAGGAAGAAUGAGAGCCCUGGAGGAGAGGGCUCGGGUGGCAGGCUCACGCUGUCCCGCUCAGAGCUUGUGAAGGGAAGGGGCCCCGAUGUGCGGCUCUAGUGUGUCUGCUCCGCACGCCUCCGGGGCCACCAGGGUGGACCCUGAUCAGCAAGUCCUUAGUGGCAGGAGUGGAGGGAGAGGGAGGGGUGGAGAACCGUCUGGAGCUGUGCAGACAGGUGAGUCCUCCUCUCUCCUCCAGUGUCUCUGGAAUCCCCACAGGGGAUCUGAUGGCCACCGCAGGGUCCAACUUGCAGGCACAAGCCUAUGAAGCAGUCACCUUUUGCUUUGGCUGAAGGGGAAUCAAGAAUCUGAGAGGGAAAACUCUCUUCUUGACACAGAGCAGCCACAGUGCACUUUCCUACAUACAGUACAGUGGCGGGCAGGCAAAGGGCCCUGCUGGCUCGGAUUAAGGCACUUAGAA